CUGGCGGCGUGGAUAAGACAUGCAAGUCGAACGCCAAUUGCGAAGUAGCAAUAUUUUGCAGUUGGAGUGGCGAAAGGGUGCGUAACACGUGGGUAAUUUGCCAUGAAGUGGGGGAUAACCCCGAGAAAUCGGGGCUAAUACCGCAUGUGACUGCUGGGGGGGGCAUCCUCUGGCAUUCAAAGUUGGGGACCGAAAGGCCUGAUGCUUCGUGAUAAGCCCGCGGCCUAUCAGCUAGUUGGUGAGGUAACGGCCCACCAAGGCUAAGACGGGUAGCUGGUCUGAGAGGACGACCACUCACACUGGAACUGAGACACGGUCCAGACACCUACGGGUGGCAGCAGUCGAGAAUUUUUCUCAAUGGGCGAAAGCCUGAAGGAGCGACGCCGCGUGGGGGAUGAAGGGCUUCGGCUCGUAAACCCCUGUCAUUUGCGAACAAACCUGCUAACCUAACACGUUAGCAGCUGAUAGUAGCGAAAGAGGAAGGGACGGCUAACUCUGUGCCAGCAGCCGCGGUAAUACAGAGGUCCCAAGCGUUGUUCGGAUUCACUGGGCGUAAAGGGUGCGUAGGUGGCGGGGUAAGUUUGGUGUGAAAUCUCCAGGCCCAACUUGGAAACUGCACUGAAUACUAUUCCGCUUGAGGAUCGGAGGGGAGACUGGAAUUCUCGGUGUAGCAGUGAAAUGCGUAGAUAUCGAGAGGAACACCAGUGGCGAAGGCGAGUCUCUGGACGAUCCCUGACGCUGAGGCACGAAAGCUAGGGGAGCAAACAGGAUUAGAUACCCUGGUAGUCCUAGCCCUAAACGGUGCACGUUUGCUGUGGGCGGAAUCGACCCCGUCCGUGGCGUAGCUAACGCGUUAAACGUGCCGCCUGGGAAGUACGGCCGCAAGGUUAAAACUCAAAGAAAUUGACGGGGGCCUGCACAAGCGGUGGAGUAUGUGGCUUAAUUCGAUACAACGCGAAGAACCUUACCUGGCCUUGACAUGUGGGUAGUAGAAGGAUGAAAGUCUGACGAGGUAGCAAUACCAGCCUACACAGGUGCUGCAUGGCUGUCGUCAGCUCGUGUCGUGAGAUGUUGGGUUAAGUCCCGCAACGAGCGCAACCCUCGUGUCCUGUUGCCACUCCUGCGAGAGCAGGAAGCACUCCGGACAGACUGCCUCAUUUAAAUGAGGAGGAAGGUGGGGAUGACGUCAAGUCAGGAUGGCCCUUACGGCCAGGGCUGCACACGUACUACAAUGCUCGGUACAAAGAGACGCGAUACCGCAAGGUGGAGCAAAUCUCCCAAAACCGAGCCCAGUUCAGAUUGUCGGCUGCAACUCGCCGACAUGAAGCUGGAAUCGCUAGUAAUGGCGCAUCAGCUACGGCGCCGUGGAUACGUUCCCAGGCCUUGUACACACCGCCCGUCACAUCAUGAAAGCUGGUUGUACCCGAAGUCAGUGCGCCAACCGCAAGGAGGCAGCUGCCGAAGGUAUGGCUGGUGAUUGGGAUGAAGUCGGAACAAGGUA
rnacentral:rRNA from 1 species